rnacentral:rRNA from 1 species
UUGCCUCAGUAACGGCGAGUGAAGCGGCAAGAGCUCAAAUUUGAAAUCUGGCUCCUCUUGGGGCCCGAGUUGUAAUUUGGGAGAGGAUGCUUACGGGACUGGGCCCCCAUCUAAGUGCCCUGGAACGGGCCGUCAUAGAGGGUGAGAAUCCCGUCUGGGAUGGGUGGCCUGGCCCGUGUGAAGCUCCUUCGACGAGUCGAGUUGUUUUGGGAAUGCAGCUCUAAAUGGGUGGUAAAUUUCAUCUAAAGCUAAAUAUUGGCCGGAGACCGAUAGCGCACAAGUAGAGUGAUCGAAAGAUGAAAAGCACUUUGAAAAGAGAGUUAAACAGCACGUGAAAUUGUUGAAAGGGAAGCGCUUGCAACCAGACUCGCCCGGGGGGGCUCAACCGGCACUUGUGCCGGUGCACUCCCCCCCGGGCGGGCCAGCGUCGGUUUGGGCGGCCGGUCAAAGGUCCCCGGAAUGUAUCACCUCUCGGGGUGUCUUAUAGCCGGGGAUGCCAUGCGGCCAGCCCGGACCGAGGAACGCGCUUCGGCUCGGACGCUGGCGUAAUGGUUGUAAGCGGCCCGUCUUGAAACACGGACCAAGGAGUCUAACAUCUAUGCGAGUGUUCGGGUGUCAAACCCGUCCGCGCAGUAAAAAGCAAACGGAGGUGGGAACCCCCUCGCGGGGGUGCACCAUCGACCGAUCCUGAUGUCUUCGGAUGGAUUUGAGUAAGAGCAUAGCCGUUGGGACCCGAAAGAAUGGUGAACUAUGCCUGAAUAGGGGCGAAGCCAGAGGAAACUCUGGUGGAGGCUCGCAGCGGUUCUGACGUGCAAAUCGAUCGUCGAAUUUGGGUAUAGAGCGAAAGAC